UGGCGGCAGGCCUAACACAUGCAAGUCGAGCGCAGUCCUUCGGGACCGAGCGGCGGACGGGUUAGUAACGCGUGGGAACAUACCCUUUUCUACGGAAUAGCCUCGGGAAACUGAGAGUAAUACCGUAUAAGCCCUUCGGGGGAAAGAUUUAUCGGGAAAGGAUUGGCCCGCGUUAGAUUAGAUAGUUGGUGGGGUAAUGGCCUACCAAGUCUACGAUCUAUAGCUGGUUUUAGAGGAUGAUCAGCAACACUGGGACUGAGACACGGCCCAGACUCCUACGGGAGGCAGCAGUGGGGAAUCUUAGACAAUGGGCGCAAGCCUGAUCUAGCCAUGCCGCGUGUGUGAUGAAGGUCUUAGGAUCGUAAAGCACUUUCGCCAGGGAUGAUAAUGACAGUACCUGGUAAAGAAACCCCGGCUAACUCCGUGCCAGCAGCCGCGGUAAUACGGAGGGGGUUAGCGUUGUUCGGAAUUACUGGGCGUAAAGCGUACGUAGGCGGAUCAGAAAGUUAGGGGUGAAAUCCCGAGGCUCAACCUCGGAACUGCCUCUAAAACUCCUGGUCUUGAGUUCGAGAGAGGUGAGUGGAAUUCCAAGUGUAGAGGUGAAAUUCGUAGAUAUUUGGAGGAACACCAGUGGCGAAGGCGGCUCACUGGCUCGAUACUGACGCUGAGGUACGAAAGUGUGGGGAGCAAACAGGAUUAGAUACCCUGGUAGUCCACACCGUAAACGAUGAAUGCCA
rnacentral:rRNA from 1 species